AUUGAACGCUGGCGGAAUGCUUUACACAUGCAAGUCGAGCGGCAGCACGGGGGCAACCCUGGUGGCGAGCGGCAAACGGGUGAGUAAUACAUCGGAACAUGCCCAGUCGUGGGGGAUAACACUUCGAAAGAAGUGCUAAUACCGCAUACGUCCUGAGGGAGAAAGCGGGGGAUCUUCGGACCUCGCGCGAUUGGAGUGGCCGAUGUCAGAUUAGCUAGUUGGUGGGGUAAAGGCCUACCAAGGCAACGAUCUGUAGCUGGUCUGAGAGGAUGAUCAGCCACACUGGGACUGAGACACGGCCCAGACUCCUACGGGAGGCAGCAGAGGGGAAUUUUGGACAAUGGGGGCAACCCUGAUCCAGCCAUUCCGCGUGAGUGUAGAAGGCCUUCGGGUUGUAAAGCUCUUUCGGCAGGAACGAAACGGCGAGCUCUAACAUAGCUUGCUAAUGACGGUACCUGAAGAAGAAGCACCGGCUAACUACGUGCCAGCCGCCGCUGUAAAAC
rnacentral:rRNA from 1 species